CUCUUUUUUUCACCCCUUCCAAUCCAAAAACCCUAGGAGAGAGAGAGAGAGAGAAGAACAUGAGGUGGAUAUUUAGGUUUCUCUGAUCAAGGAAGGUGUGAGCCACAUCUGUCCAGCAAAGGGGUUGGACAAGCAGGAAGAAAGACGCUGGUGGGGGGUGAGCCCCAUUCGUCAAUGAUGUAAGAUAUAAAGACAAGCAUGGUAAAAAAAUCCUGAUGGGGGUGAGAACUAUCCGUCCAACAAAAGGGUUUGACUAGCAAGAAGAAAGAUCCUAGUGGGGGUGAGCCACAUCCGUCAAUAUGUUAUAAGAUGAUGUAAAUGAAUGAGUAACUAAAGCAUGCAUAGCAUUGUAUGCUAUGUGAUGAUGUUUUAUGAGGUGAUUUAAGAGGGAUGUCACACUAGAUGUAUCAGUAUGUAUAUGUUUCUGGAUGAGACAUGGAACAUAUGUAUGCCGUUACAACUGGAGUGCAUAUGAUGUGUUAUGGUUUCUUGCUUAGAUAUGCUUAUAUGCUUGUGUUUU